UCUAUACCUCUGCUUCUAGACUCUCUCUCUCGCUCUCGCUCUCUUCUCUGCGCCGCGCAAGAUGGUUCUUCAGUUGCACCUUGAAGUCCACCUUGAGUUGAUGGGUUGAAGGAUUUCCAUUGUUAGGGUUCUUGCUUUCUUGGGAUGAAAAAUAUUUGACCCAGUAUAGAGCAGUAUUUGUUGUCAACUGCAAGAUUAAGGAUGACAAAGUUGUGAAGCAAAAUAUACCAAAAUCAAGAAAAAGAAAUAGAAGGACUGAAGGCAAUGAUGCACAUUCGACUAACACUGAAACAUUCAAGCAAGUCUGCUGCUAUGUUUACUUGACAGAGGUUCUGAUUCUGACACCAGAAGAUAUAUUCGUCAGAAGAUCAGAGGAUCUGAAGAUCAGAAGAUCAGAGGAUCAGAAGAUCUGAGGAUCAGAGGAUGAGAAGAUCAGAGGAUCUGAAGAUCAGAAGAUCUGAGGAUCAGAGGAUCAAAAGAUCAGAGGAUCUGAAGAUCAGAGGAUCUGAGGAUCAGAGGAUCAGAGGAUCAGAGGAUCAGAAGAUCAGAGGAUCAGAAGAUCUGAGGAUCAGAAGAUCUGAAGACCAGAAGCUUUGAGGGACCAGAGGCUCUGAAGGUUCAGAAGCUCUGAAGGUCCAGAAGCAGAAGUUACGAAGGUCAGAGGAUCCAAGCAUCCCUCUGACUCUGAUCACCAAGCUUCACAAGUUCCAACACGAAGCAUUCCUCUGAUCAGAAGUCAUUGGUUAAAGGCAAAUGUCUCUAUCAAGAAGUACAAGAGCAGUGUACUAUUCUGAAAAGCCUACCUACCAAGGUUCAGCCACAGCAGGUUCUGGAAGUUCCAGAAAUGCCCUCCAACGGUCAUAUUCUCUCAACAGAAAUAUCCUUUGCACCUUGGACUAUAAAAGGCUGAAGAAAAGAAGAAAGAAGUGCAAGAGAAAAAUCAAGAGCUGCAAUACAAGAAAAGAUUCAGCCUCUACUUUCUUCAUCUGUUCUUAUUUAGUUUACACUCAGCUUAUUUAGAAGCAAACCUUUGUAAACACCAACCUCAAACAGUUGUUUGAUUUUCCUUAAGGGACCGGGUAGGUCAGUAUCCUUAAGAAGACUAAGAGAGUGAAUCUUAGUGGUGAUUCCUUUAGGAGAUCAAGGUUGAUCGGAUCCUAGAGAAGACUAAGAGAGUGAAUCUUAGUGAUAGCUAAGUCAGUGUAUUGUUAGUCACUUGUAGGUUUCAAGUGCAGUUGUAACAAUUAUCUGAUUAAUGGAUUGCCUUCAUUCUAAGAAGGAAGAAAUCACCUUAACGGGUGGACUGGAUUAGCUUGAGGGAUUUAUCAAGUGAACCAGGAUAAAA